ensembl:snRNA U6 U6 spliceosomal RNA
GUGUUCACUUAGGCAGCACAUAGACUAAAAUUGGAACAAUAUGGAGAAGAUCAGCAUGGCUUCUGUAAAAGGAUGCCAGGACAAUGCCAAGGUGUAAGUAGAUUAG